rnacentral:lncRNA from 1 species
UUGGUCUACAGAGAUCCGCCUGCCUCUGCCUCCCGAGUGCUGGGAUUAAAGGCAUGCUCCACCAACACCCGGCCAAUUUAUCUGUUUUAAAAAUGCCUUGACUUCAAAAUUUAAGUCUAAGGACAUGUUACUUUGGAAAAGAGGUUCUGCUUUUGUUUCCACAGAAGAUGAAAAGCUGUGGAUUCCUUCCAGACUAAUAUGGUUUGAUCAAGCAAGACCCCUGAAGCAGUGGUCCAGGAGAUCCAAAAUCCAAGACAGCAAAGACUAUGCAGCCUUGCAGAAUACUACAGCCAGGUCUUUGAAGUGUUUGAAGAUCAAAUAUCUAUGUCUGACUAACCUCAUAGGUAUAGGAAGUAUGGGUAAGUAUAAUCUGUAAUUCUCAGAAACAUAGAUGCUCAAUGGCUGAAGCUUUCCAAAAAUAAUUUUGCAAGGACAAUGACUUCAAAAAAUGUAACUAUGUACACACACACACACACACACACACACACACACACACACACAUAUAGAUCUAAAUCUCAAUAACAGAUAGAACCGAAAUGUCUUGACUAGAGGUAGAACUGUAAAGUGUAAUAUGAUAAAAUAUCCUA